rnacentral:rRNA from 1 species
AGCAGCCGCGGUAAUUCCAGCUCCAAUAGCGUAUAUUAAAGUUGUUGCGGUUAAAAAGCUCGUAGUUGAAUUUCGGGGUUAGUAGGUUGGUCAUGCCUCCGGUAUGUACUGAUCUCACUGAUUCCUCCUUCCUUAUGAACCGUAAUGCCAUUAAUUUGGUGUUGCGGGGAAUUUGGACUGUUACUUUGAAAAAAUUAGAGUGUUUAAAGCAAGCUAACGCUUGAAUACAUUAGCAUGGAAUAAUGAAAUAGGACGUUCGAUCUUAUUUUGUUGGUUUCUAGGAUUGACGUAAUGAUUAAUAGGGAUAGUUGGGGGCAUUAGUAUUCAAUUGUCAGAGGUGAAAUUCUUGGAUUUAUUGAAGACUAACUACUGCGAAAGCAUUUGCCAAGGAUGUUUUCAUUAAUCAAGAACGAAAGUUAGGGGAUCGAAGACGAUCAGAUACCGUCGUAG